rnacentral:rRNA from 1 species
GACGAACGCUGGCGGCGUGCUUAACACAUGCAAGUCGAACGGAAAGGCCCUGCUUUUGUGGGGUGCUCGAGUGGCGAACGGGUGAGUAACACGUGAGUAAACUGCCCUUGACUUUGGGAUAACUUCAGGAAACUGGGGCUAAUACCGGAUAGGAGCUCCUGCUGCAUGGUGGGGGUUGGAAAGUUUCGGCGGUUGGGGAUGGACUCGCGGCUUAUGAGCUUGUUGGUGGGGUAGUGGCUUACCAAGGCUUUGACGGGUAGCCGGCCUGAGAGGGUGACCGGGCACAUUGGGCCUGCGAUAGGGCCCAGACUCCUACGGGAGGCAGCAGUGGGGAAUAUUGCACAAUGGGCGGAAGCCUGAUGCAGCAACGCCGCGUGCGGGAUGACGGCUUUCGGGGUGUAAACCGCUUUCGCCUGUGACGAAGCGUGAGUGACGGUAAUGGGUAAAGAAGCACCGGCUAACUACGUG